AGAUUGAAUAAUUCUGAUGUGAAACAAAAACCUACAGCGUACAGACACUUUACUUCGUUGGAAUUAAAACAGUGAGAGAGCUAUCUGCAUCAUGAGAUUUACUUUGCUGUUGGAUAUUUGCCUUGCUGCCACAAUUGUUUCUCUUUCAACAGAACAAGUGACUGAACAUAAGAUCGUAGUAUGCAACAACAGACCGACCACAAUAAGUUGCCGGGAAAGAAUUGUCGUACGUUCGGCUAUCUUCGGACAACCAAAAGGGAACAUAUGCGGUGGAAGGAGGGUUUAUGGUUGUCAGAGGAACGUCACUGAUACAGUAUCGGAGUUAUGUAGCAAUAAAGAAACCUGUCAGUUUACACCUGGGAGCAUUUUGUUUGGUGAUCAUUGUCCAGGGAGUGUGAAAUAUACGGAGAUUGUAUAUCUGUGUCAUUUCUGGCUAUUCUAAAUAAAGAUAUGUGCUUGGACUAUGAAUCCAAAUAUGUCAAUUAAACAGUAUCAUACUAG